UUGGGUCCCCUUGGAGGACUUAGUGACCAGCUAACCAAUAAGUAGACCGCCUGGGGAGUACGGCCCGCAAGGUUAAAACUCAAAUGAAUUGACGGGGGCCCGCACAACGGUGGAGCAUGUGGUUUAAUUCGAUGCAACGCGAAGAACCUUACCUGGUCUUGACAUAUCUAGAAUCCUGCAGAGAUGCGGGAGUGCCUUCGGGAAUUAGAAUACAGGUGCUGCAUGGCUGUCGUCAGCUCGUGUCGUGAGAUGUUGGGUUAAGUCCCGCAACGAGCGCAACCCUUUUCCUUAGUUACCAGCGGGUUAAGCCGGGAACUCUAAGGAUACUGCCAGUGACAAACUGGAGGAAGGCGGGGACGACGUCAAGUCAUCAUGGCCCUUACGACCAGGGCUACACACGUGCUACAAUGGUAGGUACAGAGGGCAGCUACACAGCGAUGUGAUGCGAAUCUCAAAAAGCCUAUCGUAGUCCAGAUUGGAGUCUGCAACUCGACUCCAUGAAGUAGGAAUCGCUAGUAAUCGCGGAUCAGAAUGCCGCGGUGAAUACGUUCCCGGGCCUUGUACACACCGCCCGUCACACCAUGGGAGUUGAUUGCACCAGAAGUGGAUAGCCUAACCGUAAGGAAGGCGUUCACCACGGUGUGGCUCCAUGACUGGGGUGAAGUCGUAACAAGGUAGCCGUAGGGGAACCUGCGGCUGGAUCACCUCC
rnacentral:rRNA from 1 species